AUGACCGUCCAUGAUCUAGAAAACAGCCUCAGGAUCUGGGAGAGGAAGGUGGAAAUUGCAGAGAUGGCCUUGAAGAGCUACCGCAAUGUUUGGCAUAAGGCGAAGAUGGCCAGUCACCAGCUGCAGGCUCUUCUACCAGAGCAGGAGAGACACAAAGUGACAGAGGGACUCUAGAGAAAUCCGGAGGAGGAGGAGGAGAGCGGGAGGAAACUCGCAAGCCACCUGCUGCACCCAUCAGCCCCCACCGUCCUGAUGCAGAGCUUCAUUCCGAUGACCCCCCCUCCCUUCUUCCCCCCCCGCCCCCUCCCAGGGCCAGACCAAGGAGGCUUCGGAUAGGCACAAAGCCCCUGGAGGUCACCGAGAGGGAAGGAGGCUUUUGCCGUGCUCCAUCUGACCUCCAGGCCUCGGUUUCUGCCCCUUCGGUGUGUUAGUAAACGGAUCUGUCUUAAGCCAUUUAUCGAUCACGAUAGACCUGCUUGACUACAGAGCUGUGGAGUUGAUUCAAAUCACUCCACAACAUGAGAAUGAAU
rnacentral:lncRNA from 1 species